rnacentral:rRNA from 1 species
GCUUACGGCACACCUCCCUGAGCACGCCCGAUCUCGUCUGAUCUCGGAAGCUAAGCAGGGUCGGCCCGGUUAGUACUUGGGAUGGGAGACCGCCUGGCAAUACAGGUGCUGUAAGCC